rnacentral:rRNA from 1 species
UGGGGAAUAUUGCACAAUGGAGGAAACUCUGAUGCAGCAACGCCGCGUAAAGGAAGAAGGGUUUCGGCUCGUAAACUUUAAUCAACAGGGACGAAAGAAAUGACGGUACCUGAACAGAAGCACCGGCUAACUACGUGCCAGCAGCCGCGGUAAUACGUAGGGUGCAAGCGUUAUCCGGAAUUACUUGGGCGUAAAGGGUGAGUAGGCGGAUAGAUAAGUCACAUGUGAAAUCCCCGGUCUUAAGCCGGGAGUUGCAUGAGAAACUGUCAAUCUAGAGUACAGGAGAGGUAAGCGGAAUUCCUAGUGUAGCGGUGAAAUGCGUAGAUAUUAGGAAGAACACCAGUGGCGAAGGCGGCUUACUGGACUGAAACUGACGCUGAGUCACGAAAGCGUGGGGAGCAAACAGGAUUAGAUACCCCGGUAGUCC